GUGCCAGCAGCCGCGGUAAUACGGAGGAUCCGAGCGUUAUCCGGAUUUACUGGGUUUAAAGGGUGCGUAGGCGGGCGCUUAAGUCAGCGGUGAAAGGCAGCGGCUCAACCGUUGGACUGCCGUUGAAACUGGGCGCCUUGGAUUCGGUCGGGGCCGGCGGAAUGCGUGGUGUAGCGGUGAAAUGCUUAGAUAUCACGCGGAACGCCGAUCGCGAAGGCAGCUGGCCAGGCCGAGAUCGACGCUGAUGCAC
rnacentral:rRNA from 1 species